rnacentral:rRNA from 1 species
GAUGAACGCUGGCGGCGUGCUUAACACAUGCAAGUCGAACGAAGCACUUUGAUCGAUUUCUUCGGAAUGAAGUUUUAGUGACUGAGUGGCGGACGGGUGAGUAACGCGUGGGUAACCUGCCUCACACAGGGGGAUAACAGUUGGAAACGGCUGCUAAUACCGCAUAAGCGCACAGUACCGCAUGGUACGGUGUGAAAAACUCCGGUGGUGUGAGAUGGACCCGCGUCUGAUUAGCUAGUUGGCAGGGCAGCGGCCUACCAAGGCGACGAUCAAUAGCCGACCUGAGAGGGUGACCGGUCACAUUGGGACUGAGACACGGCCCAAACUCCUACGGGAGGCAGCAGUGGGGAAUAUUGCACAAUGGGGGAAACCCUGAUGCAGCGACGCCGCGUGAGCGAAGAAGUAUUUCGGUAUGUAAAGCUCUAUCAGCAGGGAAGAAAAAAUGACGGUACCUGACUAAGAAGCACCGGCUAAAUACGUGCCAGCCGCCGCAGUAA